AACGAACGCUGGCGGCAGGCCUAACACAUGCAAGUCGAGCGGACCCUUCGGGGUUAGCGGCGGACGGGUGAGUAACGCGUGGGAAUAUGCCCUUCUCUACGGAAUCGUCCUGGGAAACUUGGGGUAAUACCGUAUACGCUCUUUGGGGGAAAGAUUUAUCGGGGAAGGAUUAGCCCGCGUUGGAUUAGGUAGUUGGUGGGGUAAUGGCCUACCAAGCCGACGAUCCAUAGCUGGUUUGAGAGGAUGAUCAGCCACACUGGGACUGAGACACGGCCCAGACUCCUACGGGAGGCAGCAGUGGGGAAUCUUAGACAAUGGGGGCAACCCUGAUCUAGCCAUGCCGCGUGAGUGAUGAAGGCCUUAGGGUUGUAAAGCUCUUUCAGCUGGGAAGAUAAUGACGGUACCAGCAGAAGAAGCCCCGGCUAACUCCGUG
rnacentral:rRNA from 1 species